AUACAUGCAAGUCGAACGCACAGCGAAAGGUGCUUGCACCUUUCAAGUGAGUGGCGAACGGGUGAGUAACACGUGGACAACCUGCCUCAAGGCUGGGGAUAACAUUUGGAAACAGAUGCUAAUACCGAAUAAAACUUAGUGUCGCAUGACACAAAGUUAAAAGGCGCUUCGGCGUCACCUAGAGAUGGAUCCGCGGUGCAUUAGUUAGUUGGUGGGGUAAAGGCCUACCAAGACAAUGAUGCAUAGCCGAGUUGAGAGACUGAUCGGCCACAUUGGGACUGAGACACGGCCCAAACUCCUACGGGAGGCUGCAGUAGGGAAUCUUCCACAAUGGGCGAAAGCCUGAUGGAGCAACGCCGCGUGUGUGAUGAAGGCUUUCGGGUCGUAAAGCACUGUUGUAUGGGAAGAACAGCUAGAAUAGGAAAUGAUUUUAGUUUGACGGUACCAUACCAGAAAGGGACGGCUAAAUACGUGCCAGCAGCCGCGGUAAUACGUAUGUCCCGAGCGUUAUCCGGAUUUAUUGGGCGUAAAGCGAGCGCAGACGGUUUAUUAAGUCUGAUGUGAAAGCCCGGAGCUCAACUCCGGAAUGGCAUUGGAAACUGGUUAACUUGAGUGCAGUAGAGGUAAGUGGAACUCCAUGUGUAGCGGUGGAAUGCGUAGAUAUAUGGAAGAACACCAGUGGCGAAGGCGGCUUACUGGACUGCAACUGACGUUGAGGCUCGAAAG
rnacentral:rRNA from 1 species